CCUACGGGAGGCAGCAGUGGGGAAUAUUGCACAAUGGGGGCAACCCUGAUGCAGCCAUGCCGCGUGUGUGAAGAAGGCCUUCGGGUUGUAAAGCACUUUCAGUUGUGAGGAAAGGUUAGUAGUUAAUACCUGCUAGCUGUGACGUUAACAACAGAAGAAGCACCGGCUAACUCCGUGCCAGCAGCCGCGGUAAU
rnacentral:rRNA from 1 species